AAUGGCUAUGCCACCUCUGUGCAGAACAAAAUCAACAGAAAGACAGAGGUGCUAUUGUGUCUCCCUGAGACGUGGACUCCAGCUCCCUCUGCAAGCCCCCUCACCUACAGUCACCAAACCCAUGAUCAUGACUGCUUCAAAAAGUGAGUGUUGAUCUCGAUCCUGGGACACCCCAAGACUACUGGGAGAUUCCAUGGGUCCAAAGCCAGCCCCCUAUGGGCGAGCCCAGUGCUGCUGUGUUCCAAAGUCCCACUGAGCAUGUGACUCUCUGAAUCAGUCGUCUUCUGAUCUAGAAGGAAGGGGCAGUGCUGCAGACGUGGAACUUGCAAGGAGACAACAGGACGUUCACCCAUGUGACUCUGAACCAUUUCACCAGGAUCAUGAUCCUGCUGCAUCCAUUUACCUACAGGAGCCUCAUCUUCCCCAAAGUCAAAACGAUCACAGAAGGGAAAUGUCUUCAAUCAGCUCGGGACCUCAGAGCAGCCAGGACAGUGCAACUGAAGACUUUCAUGGCUUCAGAGCUGCCUCCAGAAGGGGCAAGCAUGAUGGGAUAAGAAUGUUUGACGUGGGGAUCGAUGACACUGUACCUUUUACUGUAAC